GUAGGUGGCAAGCGUUGUCCGGAAUUAUUGUGCGUAAAGCGCGCGCAGGCGGUCCUUUAAGUCUGAUGUGAAAGCCCACGGCUCAACCGUGGAGGGUCAUUGGAAACUGGGGGACUUGAGUACAGAAGAGGAAAGCGGAAUUCCAAGUGUAGCGGUGAAAUGCGUAGAGAUUUGGAGGAACACCAGUGGCGAAGGCGGCUUUCUGGUCUGUAACUGACGCUGAGGCGCGAAAGCGUGGGGAGCAAACAGGGAUUAGAUACCCUGGUAGUCCACGCCGUAAACGAUGAGUGCUAAGUGUUAGGGGGUUUCCCGCCCCUUAGUGCUGCAGCUAACGCAUUAAGCACUCCGCCUGGGGAGUACGGCCGCAAGGCUG
rnacentral:rRNA from 1 species